rnacentral:rRNA from 1 species
GGUAGCACAAAGGAGCUUGCUCCUCGGGUGACGAGUGGCGGACGGGUGAGUAAUGUCUGGGGAUCUGCCCGAUGGAGGGGGAUAACCACUGGAAACGGUGGCUAAUACCGCAUAACGUCGCAAGACCAAAGUGGGGGACCUUCGGGCCUCACACCAUCGGAUGAACCCAGAUGGGAUUAGCUAGUAGGUGGGGUAACGGCUCACCUAGGCGACGAUCCCUAGCUGGUCUGAGAGGAUGACCAGCCACACUGGAACUGAGACACGGUCCAGACUCCUACGGGAGGCAGCAGUGGGGAAUAUUGCACAAUGGGCGCAAGCCUGAUGCAGCCAUGCCGCGUGUAUGAAGAAGGCCUUCGGGUUGUAAAGUACUUUCAGCGGGGAGGAAGGGGACGAGGUUAAUAACCUCGUUCAUUGACGUUACCCGCAGAAGAAGCACCGGCUAACUCCGUGCCAGCAGCCGCGGUAAUACGGAGGGUGCAAGCGUUAAUCGGAAUUACUGGGCGUAAAGCGCACGCAGGCGGUCUGUUAAGUCAGAUGUGAAAUCCCCGGGCUUAACCUGGGAACUGCAUUUGAAACUGGCAGGCUUGAGUCUUGUAGAGGGGGGUAGAAUUCCAGGUGUAGCGGUGAAAUGCGUAGAGAUCUGGAGGAAUACCGGUGGCGAAGGCGGCCCCCUGGACAAAGACUGACGCUCAGGUGCG